AAAACCUGGGAAGAAAGCAGAGCAGAUGCAGCAUUCUGAUGGAAAACCACCCAGGACAGGACGUAUCACUUCUUCUAAUUGCUCAAGGACUCUCUGGCCAGGACCUGUGUCCGGGUUUCCGCCAUCAAUAACAGGCACGGUUCCGCAUCUCAACCAGUGUCCAGCUCCCUCCCUCACAGCUCCCUCCUUCUCAGUAUGAGCACAGACUUAAGAGCCUCUGAACAAGGAGCUGGACAUGUUUGCUGCAUUUCAAGGCACUGGAAACAUCACUGGAAAGGUGAUUUGGCAGAAUUUCCCCAUGAACAGUCAGUAUGGAAAUUGCAGGUGUAUUUGGCAACAUCUUGUACAGCUGUGCAUGGUUCCCACCU